AUAUCCCAUGUUGCAUUUUCCUUAACAUACCCUCCUUAAUACAAAUACAAAAUAUUCCUACAGUUUGGAGGGCUAGGUUGUGAUGGUGGCCAGGGCUGUACAUUAUAGGGACUGUAGCAGCUGCACCCAGUCCUGGACCUGUCAGAUCCAUGAUGACACAUGCCUUCAUUACAAUCCAUUUGGAUUACUCUAACACAUAAUGGGUAAGUUAGGCAAAGCUGCCUUCUAUCAUCCUAUUUAUUCAACCUGUAUGCAAGGCAGGCUUAGACUCAGAGAAAGGAGUGAAAACAGGAGAAAGAAACAUUAAUAACCAAAGAUACAUAGAUGACACAAUACAGUAGGCUCUUGGUAUUUAAAUCCCCCCAAAAUCCCCAAAAAGCGGAAUCGUUUUCAGACUCAUUGGGGGCAUUGAGCAUUAAUGUGAAAGUAACCCUCACAUAAAGUGGACAAAAUCAGCCACUGACCUAGAAUGUUGCUGUAAAGGGAGAUGAGAUUUGCUGUCUAAUACCAGUGCAUCAUGCCACUAAGGAAUACAACAUAUUUUAAUAAUACAAUAAAAUGGGGAGGGGUGGUAAAUGAGCUUGCCUAUAGCUGUUGUUGUGUAUACCAUUAUCACUUUCCACCUACAUUGUGGUGGAAAGAAUGUGUUUUAUGUCCUGUUCCCAUUUCAUAAUCAAAAGUCGAUGCUCCGACACAUGAGCCAUUCAGAGGAGUUUCAUUCUCCUCCUGGUGAGCUGCUACUAUGGAUGACCUUACACAGAAGCCAAAAGCCAAAGAAGCCUAAAGAACUAUGACUCUUGUAGGGUGUCUUUUCUUGAAGCUAACAGCUUAUAAAUAAAACCCUGGCUUUCCUUCCAAAUCGCGGAGUUUUGAAGAGUAAUAUUACGCAGAUUUACAGUUCCCUGGUAGCUAAAGCUUUUUCAAAUGAAAUAUGAGUCAAUCAGGCAUUGAAUCCAUGGCUACCACAACAAACAAGACUACAGACAUUCAGUGGGGCCAGAAGAAAGUGAAUGUCUGCACAGUAACUCCAUACAUUCACUAAGAACAUAUGGUGAAAAGCCCCAAGAUGUUUGGGGUGUAUAAAUUUAGCUGAUACACUCCUUUUUUUACCAUUUCUAAUUGAGAAAGAUAUGCCAAUUUCGUCAGGAGCUCAAGGGCAUACUGGAUAUGGAGUUGACACAUCUAUACAAUGGCUUCCUAAAGGUGGAAAGAAGCUUUACUUAACACAGUCUUUCAGAGUGAAUUCCUAUCUCCAGAGAUAUCUAUACUGCCACUCUGACGCUGAAAACAGAUUUGAUAAACACUCGGAAGGUUGUGUGCAUAAAUCUACAAAGCCAGGUCUUGCCCACGGUGAAACUCUUCCUUCCAGGAAAAUAUUUAAAGCAGAUGAAAAGCCAGUGCUGAACAAUCAACCAGAAAGUACACCACCUCCAACUGGUUCAACAGUUCCAGCUACAGACAGUGCACCACUUACCAGCAAAAAGGCUGCAGACAAAACCAGCAAACACAAACCUAGAUCCUCACUUUGCAUUCUUCUAUAAAUGUUCUUAUGGGAACCCAAGCAUUAGAACUUUGCAACCAGUCAACAAGAAUAUAUCUAAAAGUUGCUUUCAUGGAAGUGUUCUGUUCACCAAAGUGGUGCCAUCAUGAAGAGCAGUCAUGACAGACUUUUUCUGCAUUUCUGCAUCCCUAGACACUUUCCCAGGAACUCAUCACUUGAAAAGUUUCCCCCCUUUGGUGAACUGAAAAGCAGCAGAUGUCCAGCCUCCAGCUACUUUGCACCCUGGCUUUUCUAUCUUCAGCAUCUAAUGGCAGAGGUUAGACCUCUGUUGACUUCUAGCCACCCAAGCAGGGGAGAUAGAGAGGAAAGUAAAAGCUAUCACAGUUGGUCCUCUGUAUCCAUGGAUUUAUUCAUGGAUUCAAGUAUCCACAGCUUGAAAAUAUUUUUUAAAAUUAUACAUUCCAAAAUGCAAAGCUUGAUUUUGCCAUUUUAUU